CUAAUCUCACGGGACCAGGGUCCUGCCCUCAUGACCUCACCUAACCCUAACACCCUCCCAAAGGUCCCAUCUCCAAGUACUGUCAUAUUGAUGGGGGGUUAGGCCUUCAACAUAUGAAUUUGGGGGGGAAACAUUCAGUCCAUAACAGAGUGUGGCAAUAGACUGAUGCCCAUGGAAUUUAUUGGUUUUGUCAUGUACUUCAUCACCCAGAAGCAUCUGCUUUGUUAGAAUGAUAGAAUGAUUUACUUAAGACUCAGUUACUUGCAACUGAGAGAAAAUAACCUAAGAGGAUUAGGUUCUAUUUCACAGGAUGCAGUAUGUGCUUUGAAUUGAUAACCAAAGAUAUGUAACCCUAACUUCCAAGGUCAAAAUAUGAGCCCAGAAAUCAAGGAGUGAAAGUGGGAGUGGCUCAUUUUACUAUUGCACCUAAUAAUCCACUCACAGAAUUUGUGCUUCCCUUUGCUGCAUCUGUGAACUGUUAUUUUGGCAGUCUUGUUUCCCAAGAGAGGAAUGCUUCCACCAGGGGAUAUAACAGUGGUUCUAGUGAAUUGUAAGUUGAGACUGUCACUGAUCAUUUUGGGGUUGUGCUAUGAGGAUGAAUUCCAGUGGGCCUGAAAUUGGCCUCAGCUGUUUGCAUAACACCAAAUCCUGGUCAAGGCAUAAUAUAUCCUGAUUAAUAAUAUUGUUUUGUAACCUUAUGUAUGAGGAGUUUCAGGGUAGUUUGUACCAGUUUGUCAACACUGUUUAUUGUAAUAGUCAGAUGAAUGAUUUAUACCUGGAGACCUCUGUCCCUCCCGCUGUUCUCCUUCCUCCAGGGACACAAAAACUUGGUUGCUGGGGCUGGUUAUGUGCCAAAAAUACGCCUGUGUGAACAGCAGGGUGUAAGAAACCCCAGCUGAGGCUCCAUUUUGAGCCCUCUGGUUCUGAGGUGUUCCAUGCUCAUACUGUUGGUCCCUGAUCCAAGAGAGUGUGUCCCUACUGCCCUGUGUUAGUUUCCUAUUGCCGCUCUAACACUUUACCACAAAAUCAGUAGCUUAAAAUGACAUAAAUUUAUUAUCUUACAUUCUGUAGGUCAAAAGUCCAAAAUCAGUCUUAUGAAUUAAGGUAAAGUUGUCAGUCAACAGGCUGAUUCCUUCUGGAAAUUCAAGUGGAGAAUCUGUUCUUACCUUUUCCAAAUUCUAGAGGCUGCCUGUAUUCCUAGGCUGGUGGCCUCUUCUUUCAUCUUCAAAGCUGGCAGAGUAGCAUCUUCAAAACUGACUCCCUGACCUUUGCUUUUAUCCUCACAUCUUCUUUGAUUCUCCUGUCUCCUUAAGAGAGGGACCCUUGUGACCACAAUGGGCCCACCUCUUAAAGCUUCCACGUCCAAUAACAAAUGUUAAUAAAAAGUAAUUCUUUUUAUUUCUUUUUAUUGCCUAAUUGCCCUGGUUAGAAUCUCCAAGUACAAUGUUAAAUAAAAGUGGUGGCUGGGAGCAGUGGCUCACAUCUGUAAUACUAGCACUCUGGGAGGCCAAGGCAGGCAGAAUGCUCAAGCUCAGGAGUUUGAGACCAGCCUGGGCAACAUGGCAAAAUCCCAUCUCUACAAACAAUAUAAACAAUUAGCCUGCCAUGGUGGUGUGUGCUUGUGGUUACAGCUACUCAGGAGGCUGAGGCAGGAGGAUCGUUUGAGCCUGGGAGGUGGAGGCUGUAGUGAGCCAUGAUUGUGCCACUGCACUCUAGCCUGAACAACAGAGAUAGGCCUUGUCUCAAAAAAACCAAACAAACAAGUGGUGAGAGUAGACAGUCUUGACUUUUCCUGAUCUUAUAGGGAAGGCUUUUUUUUUUAACCACUAAGUAUGUUAGCUGUGGGUUUUUCAUAUUUUCAUAAAUGCUCAUCAAGUUGAGGACAUUUCCUUCUAUUUCUAGUUUUUUUUUUUUUAAUUAAAGGAUAUUGGAUUUGUCAAGUGUUUUUUUUCCCGUCUGUUGAAAUGAUCAUGUGGUUUCUUUUAUUCUGUUAGUUUGAUGUAUCCUACUGGUUGACUUUCACAUUGAACCAACCUUGCAUUCUUGGAAUAAAUCUCACUUGGUCACAAUGUAUAAUUUUUGUCACAUGUUGCUGGAUUGAGUUUGCCAGUAUUUUAUGGAGGAUUUUUAUAAGCAUAUUCAUAAGGAAUACUGGUCUGCAGUUUUCUUGUGAUGUUAUUUGUUUGGUUUGAUAUCAUGGAAUGAGGUAAGUGUUCCUCCCUUUUCAUUUUUUUGGAAGAAUUUGUGAAGGAUUGGUGUUCUUUUAAUAUUUGUUAGAAUUCAUCAGAUGACAGUGAAUCCAUCUGGCCCUGAGCCUUUCUCUGGUUCCUUGGAUUUUUUUUGGAUUACUGACUCAAUCUUUUUACUUGUUAUGGGUCUAUUCAGGUUUCCUAUUUUUUCUUGAGUCAGUUUUGGGAGUUUGUGCCUUUCUAUUAAUUUUUCUGUUUCAUCUAGGUUAUCUAAUUUGUUGGUAUGCAAUUGUUCAUAAUAUUUCCUUCUUUGAUUCUGUAAGGUUGGUAGUAAUGUCCCCUUUCAUUCCUGUUUUUUCUAGGUCUAACUUAAGGUUUGUCAAUUUUGUUAAUAUUUUCAAAGGACUAACUGUUGAUUUCUAUGAUUUUCUCUAUUGUUGGUGAGUUUCAUUUAUUUCCACUUUAAUCUUUAUUAUUUCCUUCCUUCUGCUUGCUUUGGGUUUAGUUUGCUCUUAUUUCUCUAGUUUCUUUAGGUGGAAGUUUAGGUUAUUGACUUUUCUUUUUUUUUUUUGAGACAGAGUCUUGCCCUGUCACCUAGGCUGGAGUGCAAUGGUG
rnacentral:lncRNA from 10 species